rnacentral:miRNA from 1 species
AGAAUAUUGUGUCUUGUAAACUU